AAUGCCCUGAGGAGAUUCAAAUUGUCUGAUGCCCUGGGUCCCAGCCAAGAUCAGCUCCAGUUGGGAUCUCUGGUCCUGAGCGUGCACACCAAAAGAUUCAGCAGCAGAUGAGAGGAGGAUGCUGAGGCCAUGCAGCGGGGUCCCCUGCAGCCACCGUGAUUGGUUCCUGGCAUCAAAUAAGACUCUGGUGACUGGCAGAAGUGAUGGAUGGCAGGAUCAAGAAUAAAUCUGGACAUGUGAGAGCUGAUGGGUUCUCUUUAGGGUCUUCGGCUGGAGGCUCUCGUCCCUG